AGGACGAACGCUGGCGGCGUGCUUAACACAUGCAAGUCGAGCGGUAAGGCCUUUCGGGGUACACGAGCGGCGAACGGGUGAGUAACACGUGGGUGAUCUGCCCUGCACCCUGGGAUAAGCUUGGGAAACUGGGUCUAAUACCGGAUAUGACUGCAUGCCGCAUGGUGUGUGGUGGAAAGAUUUAUCGGUGCAGGGAUGGGCCCGCGGCCUAUCAGCUAGUUGGUGAGGUAAUGGCUCACCAAGGCGACGAUCCGUAGCUGGUCUGAGAGGAUGAUCAGCCACACUGGAACUGAGACACGGUCCAGACUCCUAGGGAGCAGCAGGUGGGGAAUAGUUGG
rnacentral:rRNA from 1 species